rnacentral:rRNA from 1 species
CACGUAGGGCGCAAGCGUUGUCCGGAAUUAUUGGGCGUAAAGAGCUCGUAGGCGGUCUGUUGCGUCCGCUGUGAAAACUCGGGGCUUAACCCCGAGCCUGCAGUGGAUACGGGCAGACUAGAGGUAGGUAGGGGAGAAUGGAAUUCCCGGUGUAGCGGUGAAAUGCGCAGAUAUCGGGAGGAAGACCAGUGGCGAAGGCGGGUCUCUGGACAGUUCCUGACGCUGAGGCACGAAGGCCAGGGGAGCAAACGGG